CUCAUCUCCUCUGGCUCAGGGAGCGUGAGGAAGAACUGGAGACACUGGGUCGAGGCUUCAGCGGGUGGCUGCUGGGCUUGUGCCCUUGUCCUCUGUGGUCCUGGAGAUGGCUGUGGCCCUGCCUUUUGCCUGGUUUUUAAAUGAAGGGAAACUUCCCGGAUGUGGACAAGGUAUCUCCCCAAGAAUACCUCAGCUUGGACAUCCAGGGCUCUGGAACACCAUCCCCAGCAAUCAACUCCAGUGAGCCAUCCCGGCAGACCCUGGCAUCCCUGGUCCCCGGCCAGCAGCCUGGGAAGCGGAGGAGUGAUCUACUGUGGAUCCUGCUGAGGACACACACAAAUCCUCUGCUCAUUUCAGCUGUGCAUUAAUAUAACAUCGGCAUGAUAUCCCAUGUUGCAAAAGGAACCAGGCUGUGUGCCCCUGCUAUGCCUUGGGUCAGGUGCUGUCAUUCUGGCUAAUGUCACAGGAUGGUGACAGUGAGGACCCCUGAACCUGCCUUGCUCUGCAGCUGCCCAGGGGUGAGAGGUUGGGAACUUGCAGCCUCUGCAAGGUAGAUUUGCCAUGAUGCCAAAUGUCUAAACCUCUACUACAUUCUCACACAGGGGACCUUUCUCAGGCUGUAGAGGAAUUUUGUGCUCACUAUGUGGAAUUGUUUUUUCUUUACAAGGGAGCUUCCAUGCUAUGUAAGAUUCAAAACUCUCCAAAACCUGAAACAACCUCUGCUUUCAGAUAACAAAAUCACUUUAGACUUUU